rnacentral:lncRNA from 1 species
CCUUGAUAUGGGUUGGUGAAAUUGGAGCUAAUGACUAUGCAUAUAUAGUAGGAUCUUCUGUCUCGGAUAGAACAAUUCAAGAGCUUGCAAUCAAGAGAACAACUGAUUUCUUAGAGGUAACUUAUGUGUUCAUACAACUACAUACAUGGUGUUCACUUAAAACCUACAUUUAGCAACACAAUUCUAUAAUGUUAUAUGAUUUGUGUUUGAUCUGUCCACAAAAUGCCAAAAGUACAAUAUAAGCAGGUCGUAAUUGAGUGAAUACAAAAUUCAAAAUUUUUUUGUUGGUGAAUGCAUUUCUAAUAUCCUCUGGUAUACUGAGAGAAGAGCAACAGGAACAAACGGAAGUAUGAAAGAAAAAUGCUAUGUGGCAAAAUUAAUAUGAAACUAGCUCUGACCAUAUAUGAUCCUAGCUUGUGUUGUCAUCCCAGAAAUUGUUCAGGAACUUACAGAAACAAAACUUAAUAAAAAUUGACUAGAAUUUAAGUUCUUUAACAACUAAUAUGUUCAAAAAACAUAUAUAUUAAUUAAGCACCAUGUUACAAAUAUUUAUAGGAAUACGAAAAUAAUAAUUUCAACUGUGUAACAAGAGCUUUUCAAUAGUUAAAUUAUGCACUCAUCGAUCAGAAUGAAAAUAGGACAUGCAGUAAGAUAUGGCAAAGCAGAUAUCGGGAAUAGGUUUCUUACCUAUUAUUUGUGAUUCAGAUAUUGUUGUAUAAGGGUGCAAAGUAUGUUGUUGUGCAAGGUCUUCCUCCAACAGGAUGCCUCACAUUGGCAAUGUAUCUCUCUCGAGAAGAUGACCGAGAUGACAUUGGAUGUGUUGGAAGUGUGAACAAGCGGAGCUACAGUCACAACACCAUCUAUCAAGCCAAAUUGCAAGUUUUUAGGAAACAGUUUCCAGAUGCUAUAAUUGUUUAUGCUGAUUACUGGAAUGCUUACCACACUGUCAUAAAGAAUGCACAUAAUUACGGCUUCAAUGAGCUGUACAAAGUUUGCUGUGGAUCCAGUGGUGGGCAGUAUAACUUUGAUUCUUCUGGACCGUGUGGCUCGCCUGUCUCAACUACCUGUGCCAAUCCCUCUGAG